rnacentral:rRNA from 1 species
AUGGACGGAGGCGUGGAGGUCGCGAGGAUGCCGCCGCCCUACCGUGGUGGAUGGCGGUGCGGAGCUAGCCAAGACGACGCCAAUCACCAACAUCCUCAACCCGGUGCCGCGGAGGAUCGUGAUGGAGAGCUCACAAGGAGGACGCCCGCGAUCUACUUCGGCAUCCUGGAGCUAGAGGACGGAGGCGUGGCACUCGUUGGGGACACUGCCGACGUCUACUUCGUCAAGCUGGAGCCCGGAGGCACGGAGGCUCACAAGGAUGCCGCCAGCAUGCCGCAGUGGAUGGGUGGAGCUUGCUAG